GCAGCAUGGAUGCUCAGGCAACUGACCCGUCAGGACUGCAGCAAAUGAACAGAAGCUGGGGGAGAGCGCGGGCUGGUGCUGUACGGAGCUCUGGCGCAGAAGGCGCUCACCAGGGGUGCCCAGAGCCGGGGUCUGUGCGCCGCGGGUUGGAUCCGGGUCACAGGCUCUGGGUGGACAGAGUGAGAAGACAAAAUGAGGAUGUACUCCUCAGAUGCUCACGAAAGGCCUCCUUCCCCUUCUUUGGGAACGACCCCCCCCCACCCCCUCCCCCCAACAGGCAGUCCCAGGCCGCGCCAGGACUCGGCCGCAGGCAACUCGGAGGAGCGGGAGCCCAGGGGCCUCAGGAGGGCCUCGGGAGUGGGGAGCUGUAAGCGCCCUACAGUUUGCAUGGGAAGGCAACAGGGACUUCCCUUUUGCACUGUCUGCGGGUACCGCUGUUCCAGCCCUGAGAGGACGAGGGGACGCUGCGCUGUGGGGAAAGUCCGGGUGGCAGGAGGUGGCGGGGCUCCUGGAGGAGGUGCUGGGAUGCGCUGCUGUGGCUGCAGAGAAAGGUCCCGAGGACGCAACCCGUCCCUUCCCCCGAACUGCGAAGGAGCCCCGCGGGGAGGACGGGCAGGGUCUCCCGGAGGGAGGAACAGGGGAGCCUGGAGUCUCAGGGUUGCGGGGAGCAGAGGCGUUCUGGGUGGUGAACGUCCCCAGCCUGCCCUCCCUGCUCACUGCGAGGUCGCGCACCGGCUCUGCUCCAGGCCUUCCCUCAGCCCUGGCCUCCAGGCAGUUUCCAUUUUUGCCAGGUGGAUUCUGUACGGCUUCAUUUAUUCAGAAUCUGGAUCAACAAAUGAACACUCAGAGAGGAAAAGGGUGUUUGGAGGGGUGGAGAGGUUUCCAAGCAGGUGCCCACCUGAGGGCCCCCUGAAAGGGGACUUAAAGCCGAGUUUCCAGCUGGGCCACCCUUUUUUUUUCUUUCUUUCUUUCAGAAAUAUAAACAAAGAGCUUGAAUUAUUUUGAAAUAA
ensembl:lncRNA LINC02881 long intergenic non-protein coding RNA 2881